AUGUUAUUUUUAAAUGCUUCUUAAGAAAGAGAAGAAACAAAUCUAUGCAAAUAAAAAGCAUAUAUGGCAAAAUGUUGUUAACAGUUGUUCAGUCAAAGGGGGUAAAUGUAAAGAUGUUUAUUGUAUUAUUUUCCAAGUUUUCUAUAUUUUUGAAAAGUUUCACAGUUAAAUAUUUGGGGGAAAGUAGAAGAUGAUAGAAAACUUGAAGGAGCAUCUUUUAGGUGAAUGGGGCUUGUUCACUGCCAGGCUUUACUUAGUGUUCUUGGAUAGUACUGUUUUGUUUGGGACCCUUCAAAGAUUGGAAUUUGAAGUACUUUUCUCAGCAGUAACAGGAUCCAUUCUAGUUUCUUGAGUGGUCUUAAAAUAGUUUGUUCCAUUUUUUAGAGAUACCUUACUUAGUAUAUUUCCUGGGGCAUAAAUGCGUUUGGAGUCUCAGAGGGAAUGAACUGAACAUAGGUCCAUGAAGAUUGUGACAAGAUUUUCUUAUGCUCUUUCAUGUCUUACUAUAUAUGCCAAGAAUGCAAGGCCCUGCCUGCUUUUUGCAUAGGCCAUUUCUCAGAGUUGCGUUUGUGUAAGUCAUCUUGAGGGAUAAGAUAAGACAAAAAACAGAAUUGCUCACAGCUUGCUCUAAAAUGGUAGGCUCCCCAAGCUUCAUAUUCCUCACCUUUAAGUCAAACCAUUGUGAGUGCAGCAUCCAUCUAGGCUCAUCAUGCUACUCUCCAGGAAUUUGGGAUCCAGGGAACCAAUGCAAACAUGCCUAUGCCAUGUCAUGAUUAAUAAAGGCCUUUGUCUCUGAUCCAGAAGUUCUGAGUCUGCUGUCAGCAACCAUGUAACAGGCUAACAGAUUAGUUUGUAGCCAUGGCAAAAUCAAAUCUCAGACUUUGUUGUUAAGUCUUCAGUAGAUAGAUCUUCAGUAAUCCCUAUGUCUUCAGUCUGACUUCUUAACUGGGCCUGCAUUUUCUUAGUCUGAAGGCUCUGGGGUUCUGCUAGGCCAAUAACCUGGCUUUCUCAGUUUUAAUGAAUGGUAUUACCAUUCAUGCAGUUAUAUAAGUCCGAGUGUUCCUAAGCCCUUUCAUUUCUCAUAUUUGUGACCAGGCCUUAUUCUUUUACCUUCUUAGCAUGGCAUCUUUCUCCGCAUCCACUGCUGUUGGUUCCACUUAGGUAUCUAUCAUCUCUUAACUAGAUUGCUGCCACACAGCUAUGGAACUGAAUUGUGGCCCCCUCUCAGAAUUCAUAUGUUGAAGCUCUAAACCCUAAAUGUGAUUAUAUUUGGAGAUAGGACUUUUAGGAGGAAAUUAAGGCUAAAUGAGAUAAUAAGGGCAGCGUCCUAAUCUGAUAGAAUUGGUGGCUUUACAUGAAAAAGGAGAGAGAGAUCCUUCUUUCUCUCUCUCUCUGCACAUAUGGAGGAAAGGCCAUGUGAGGCAAUAGCAAGAACAUGGCUGUCUGCAAGCCAGAAAGAGAACUCUUACUAGUGAACCUAAUCAGUUAGUACCUUUAUCUCCCCCCAGAAAUGUGAGAAAUAAAUUUCUGUUGUUUAAGCCACCUAGGCUAUGGUAAUUUCUUAUGGUAGCCUAAUCAAACCAAGGCACUGACCUCCAGUGUGGUCAUCCAAGCUGGUGGUCAUCCAGCCAUCCAAGCUGGUUUCCCUCCCCAUUAUUUCCAUCUCUUUGAACUUCUUACCGCUGCUACUAGAGGUAUCUUUUAAAAAUGCAACUGUGAUCAAGCUUGCCUCUUUUUAGUACCUUUAUGUGUUUCCCUACAAAAUAACAGUCAAACUGCUUCCCUUCUCAAAUUAGAACUUUCAUGAGUUGGCCCUAUUGUAUUUUUCUGGUUUUAUCACUUGUCUCCUCUCUUGCCCUAGUCCCCACUCACGCUACGCUUGAGCUGUAUAAACCUACUUGCGGUUUUCUGAUAUGGCAUGCUGUUUCAUAUCUCUGGGCUGCUGCUUCUGCAGGAACCAUUUGGUGCCAGGGAUGUUGCUUCACCGCCCCCCUCCCAUCUGCCUGCGGAGUAUUUAUUCAUCUUUCAGGCUUAGACCAACCUCUGAGAAAACUUACCCUGCUCUAUAUAGGCUAGAAUGGACAUCUCUCUUCUUUGUGUCUCAUAUGUGCUUUUAAAACAAUUGUAUUAUAACGGGUAUUAUAUUUUAUUUCCCUUAGUGUUUAAUAUAUCUCUCUUUUUGUAGGUGUUUUGGGGCUAAACUAAGGCUAAAUGGAAACUAUGUUGGUUAGGGUUCCCCAGAGAAACAGAACCAAUAGAUUGUGUAUAUAUAGAGAAAUACAUUUAUUUUAGGAAAUUGUCUCAUGAGCUUCUGGGGUUUUGGCAAGUCCAAAAAUCUGAUGGGCUGGCUGGCAGGUUGGAGAACAGAGGAGUCCAAAAACAGUCUAUAGUCAGAAUUCCCUCUUGCUUGGGGGGGGCCGGUUUUCUUUCUGUUAAGCCCUUCAGCCAAGUGGAUAAGGCCCAUGAAGGCAGUUUGCUUCACUUCAGGUCCACCAAUUGAUGUAAAUGUCAUUCAGCACCUUCACAGAAAUAGACAGAAUAAUGUUUGAUCAUGUGCCAACAUGUAUGUAUUUUAACCCAAACUCUUUUAUCUUUGGAAGGGACAUCACAUUUGUCUAUAGUGCAGUGAAGACUAAAAAAACAGCCAUUGAGGCAGAAGGAAAACCUUGAGACAUGUGAUGUUGUUAAAGCCAUGUGAAGAAUAUAUAUCAAGGAGAAGUAAUGAUUUCUGUAGACUGAAGUCACACGGAGAUCAGUGGAGGUGUUUCACGGAGUUCUUCUGACUCAUCUUCUUGACUAAGUAUAAUUCUUGAUAUCUCCACUCUGAAGCCAAAACAUUAUCCCAAAGUUAAAACAUUAUUACCUUCUAUUUCUUGGUGUCUUUAGGAUAAAGUCAAACUACAUGUGGAAUACAAGGUCAGAGAAGAGCUAUGUAGCCUUAUUCUCCUCUGUCCUACUCUUAACUCAAGCCAUUAUGAACUUCAGGAGUUACUUUGAAGUUAUUUUUCUCACAGCCUUAACAUGGCCUCUCUUCUUUGCUUGAAACACUUCUUGCUUCCAUAGUCUAUUUAACUGACAUUCAUCUUUCAGGUCAUAACUUAAGUCCCACUUCUUUAGUGAGACCUGCUCUGAUCCAGGAUUAGGUUAGAUUCUCACAGAUGCCAAUAUUUACUGUCAUAACUCAUAAUACAUUUUGUUGUUUCUUGCAUUUAAUGUCUUUCUUAGAUACUUCUUUCUCUCUAAAAUGUGAGCUAGAUCAGAUCAGAAGCUCUGUUUAUUUGCUUUACAGCAUCAUUCCUGGUAUCCACUAUAGAGCCUGGCACUGGGCCAGUACUCAGUGUUUUCUGACUGAAUAUUGAAUACAAUGACAAUAUGAUUUUUCUGUUGAGUAUUGUUAGGGGAUUUGAAGCAGUAUUCCUGUUGUGACUUUACAUGUGUUUAUGUAAUAUGGGAACACGUGGCAUUCCAUUAGUAAUAAACUCAUUCUUUAAAAGCCUAUAUUGGGGGGCAUCUGGGUGGCUCAGUGGGUUAAGCCUCUGC